GGGUCAGUAGGUUGGUCGUGCCACCGGUACGUACUGGUCUCACUGAUUCCUCCUUCCUGAAGAACCGUAAUGCCAUUAAUUUGGUGUUGCGGGGAAACAGGACUGUUACUUCGAAAAAAUUAGAGUGUUUAAAGCAAGCUAACGCUUGAAUACAUUAGCAUGGAAUAAUGAAAUAGGGCGAUCGAUCCUAUUUUGUUGGUUUCUAGGAUUGACGUA
rnacentral:rRNA from 1 species